CAGGCUCAAGAUGAUGUUGAUCGAUGAAGGCCGGGAUCUCUGUAGGUCUGAUGAGCUUCUUCUCCGCAUGGAUGGUGAGGUCACACAGGACUUGGUGCUGACAGGAAGGAAGG